CUACUUGUCACUAAAACACAUUCUCUUUCUUCUUUCUUCUCACAACAUUUGCUUUUUAGGCCCACUACUACCUAUGCAUCCGUGCCCAGCUUGGUGCUUAACUAAAAGCCAAGCUAUCAUCUCUCAUCUUUUCUCUCCAACACAUCACCAUUAGCUUGGCUAUAAGCCUACCUGCUCUAAGCGAGCGCAGACCGCCGAGCAGGCACGCCAGACGGAGCUUGCAGAGAACCCGACUGCAGCGGAAAGGCGCGCUCGCGAGCGCGAGACCCAAGAGAGGGCAAGGCGCGGUGCGCGGGCCACCAACGAGAUUUAAGGUGAGUGGAUCUCUUGCGAAGAGUAUAUUUCCUUGCGGCUUUGAUUUAUCCAUUUUUCAACUGAAGGGGGAAACUUUCGGCUGAUGCGAUAGAUGCUAUUAUUGCGGUCAGAAGUCAAUAAUUCGUAGCUUCACGUGAGGAUGAAACUGGCAGGAUUUAGUCGGGUUUUUUUUGUAAAAAAAAGGGAAAUAGUUGGGUUUAUACCGAAUAAAAUCGUAUAACAUGAUUAAGGGCUGACAGGCAGUGCCUGUCCAGACAACAAAUCCUGCCCAGGCGUCCAAUUUGGACACAUUCACAGACAGGUGCGGCAAGCUCAUAUUCAUCUCAAUAAACAAUUUUAAAAUGCUAGCGUCAAGUCGUUAUAUGAAGUAUGCCUGCUUAUCCAUGCAUUGCUCACUUACUGCUGGACCCUUUACACCGAGUGAUUUUAUCCCCGUUCUCAUAACCGGCAGCACAGCAUCAUGAAAAAAGUUCUUGCACAGUAUGGCAAAAGGGACAUCCAAGUAUAAGCAUUGCAUUCCCAUUCUUUUUUUUAGAAAGUACAGCAAUAGCAUGGCCGCAUUCUUUUAUGAGACAAUGACAUUGCAAUCCCAUUCGCAACACAGAAAAACAGCAAGGAGAAAUACUUUUCAAUGGUAUCACCAUUCUCAAUUGAAAUAGCAGCAUAGAGCACUGCAGUCAAUAGUUUUGCAACAUGUACUAACCUUAUAUAUGCCCAUCUAACACUAGCUCGCACAUAUUUAAGAUUUUAAUCUUCUGUCUGCAAGGUUACACCAAGUGGUACUUGGACUUGGAUCCUCUCAUGUCUAGGUACAUUUACCAUGUGUUUGAUAAUAUAUAGACAUGAUUACAUGAAACAGAAAGAAAAAAUACAGAAAUAAGUACCUCUAGAACUGGAAGAUCAUUAUCCAAAUUAGUUCCUGGCUCAUCCAAUUAUCCAAACCCUAGUAAAUUCAUGAGGUUAGUGUCAACAUAGAAGGAAGACAGUGCUCACAUCCAACAGAUUCUGUUCUUGGACUUUUUCUAUUAGACCAAUUCCUUCAAGGACAUUUGUACCGUCAUACACGCACCUCUCUUUUGAACCUCAGUUUUCAUAAAUCAAUAAGAAGCUUUCAUCAAGAAUCAAGAGGGGCAAAGAUAUCCUAAGAGCAUCUCCAAUAGUUUUCAAAACCAACUCCUAAUCUUGAAUUUUUGGCAACGUUAAAAAAAACUGCUCUUCAACAACUCCCUAUCUCCCAAUCUUUCCGCGCUUGAAAAAAUCUACCUAAUCGUGUGGAUAAAUACGCAGGCAUAUCCAUCAGCCAAUCCAAAGGUGAAAGUACAUGGAGAAGAAUAAGGAGUAGGACAGGGUUCCUAAUGCAAAUGUACAAGAGAGAAUGGAAGUAUAAAAUUGGUUGGGUGAUUUAGACAGUUCAAGAUUCCUGAUGCAAAAUUACCUUCUACCUUUUAGGAACAAGACUUUUAUAAAUGGUUGGAGGAAGCCAACAAAUAUGCUCCCAACUUCUUUUAGUCACUUGGAAAACUCAUUAAUUUACCAAGUGAAUUUUUUUAGAAACUAUUGGAGAUGCUCUAAGGUAUAAAGCCUUCUCAGAAAUUUCAGUGUGUCUAACAGCUAAUAUACAGCUCUAUAGAGCUUCAGCUUAGAAGUUCUGCUAACUAUCCAACUGGUGCAUGUUUCGACAACCAAGUAAUCAUCAUCAUAUAUCAAAAAUAUUGAACAAAAAAGAAACUGAACAUAUAGCUACCCAAGAAACUGAUAACUGGAUGUCAAUAUAUACUGAGAUUUGUUUAACUAAACGUUUAGCUUCUUAGGGUGCAUUUGUUUGCCUGGACCAACUGGGCCACUGCGCCCUAGAGGUGCAACCUGGGCAUGGUAGUAGUAUUGAAUCGAUUCAAGCAAAUUUGCUGCCUUUUCCGCUACCAGUAUUUGCUAGGAUCUAAACACAUGGGGCCAAUUAGCAUCUUCUCCAUUCACAGGUUCUAGAAUGCAAGCUAUCUCUUGUGUUAUGUACUGUAUUCGUUUUUGGCUGCUUAUAUAUGGUGUUGAAAUUGAUGUAUUAUCAGACUGUAAAUUAGCAGAGAUGUAAUUUUAUUUAUUUGCCUCGUUUAUAGUUGUUGCAUUGGUCUAGUUUUAAAAUUUCCACCAGUCUCCUCCAACAAUAGUAUUGAAUAUGACUUUUCCUAAAUACUAUAGUAUACUACUUGUUUUACAACCUGUCCAGAAAUGGCUAGAUCUUAUACUUUGGAUGUGUAUUAACUAAGUAGAGUUUCAUGUCAUCUAAACUGGAGCUCUUCAGUGGCGGAGGGUGAGCCAAAUUAAGGGGGGGGGGAUUUUUUUUAAAAAAAAUAGAGAGUGAACAGUAAUUGACACCAAAAAUGAAUGACAAUGCAUAUAUAUCAUUAAUAUAUACAUUUAUAUGAAUAUUUAUAACUAUUCACAUACUCAUACCACACGGUUGUAGAGAUUGUUAGCCUAAUCAUUACCAAAAUACAAUUGGCCCGUGGCCAUAGGGGCUGUUAGACAAAAGACAAGACAUGGACACCAAAAUAUAUAAGUUAGACAUACGACUACAGCUUAGAGGUCUGCUCUUCUUUUCUUCAAAUUUUUGAAAUCUGUGAUUAUAUCAUCAAUCAUAGGUAGUGUCCUGCAAUUUCACCUUCGAUCUGAACCAACAAGUUAUUGGCAAGGAAAUCAUCUUCCAUCUUGUUGCACAGUCUUGUCUUGGUUAUCUUCAAAAUAGAGAAAGCACUGCCUCCUACGUGAGUGCCUAAAUGGGCUGGUGGCUAUUGCUACACUGCAGCUAUCCUAUAUUCCUAUUGGGCCUUAAGAAAUUGUUUCGAGGGAAGGGGGGCCGGGAGCCCAGUUUCGCCUCUACUGGGCUCCGCCCGUGGAGCUCUUGUUUUCAAUUUAUUUUGCAUGGUCAUUAGUUAUUACUAUGGGUAGGUCAAUGCAACAGCUAAUGCUGAUGCUUUCCUUGCUCAAGUCUUCUUUUUUUUGGGUUUUAUUCAGCGUUUAGGAUGAAACACUCUUGAGCAGUUGUCUCUUGCAUCUGUUCAGGUUGUAAACAGGGUUAAAGUAGCAGGUUUGCAUGAUUCCUUUGUUAGGAUGUUAUUUUUUGAUAUGAAAUAUUUAACAUUUGGUUGAAGGGCAUGUUCCGGCUGGCAUAACUCAUGUAUGUUCUUUCUUGCUAAUAAUGCACAACUCAUGUCUCUCACUGUGAUUACAACUUUUGUCCAGCCUGCUUUGAUGAACAAUUUUUGUGCCAAUGAUGUGCAUGAUGCCUAUGAUGUGGCUUCAGCUGUUUUAUUACUGAAAUUAUUAUCGAUCUGUAUGCCGGUUUCUUGAUGUUGUGGCCAGGCAAAUAAACAGGCCUUUUUCCUACCCUGCGUUACUACCUUUGCCACUUUGUUUGAGCAGUGCUUACUUUGUAGUUCACUAGAUUUGGGUUUUCAAGUAGUGCCACCAGUGAUUAAAUAAUUUUCCUUAGCUUAUUUGUCCUGGCUGGUUAUUUGUGGGGAAUAAUUCAAGGACGUUACUUGAAAGGCCUAUGAUGACAUCUUAAUUUUGAAGAGUUAGCUCUCUCUUCUCAUUUGGAUCUUAAUUUUUUUGAUGGAUUGUCCAAUUAUGUGCUAUCUGGAUGACCAGUUCUUAUUAGCUGUUCCUCUUUACUGUUUUUUGUGCUCCAGGACUUUAAACCCUAAUCAAGAGGUGGCACUACUUGUUCUUCUGCUAAUAUUCUGUUCUUAUGCCUACGGUCAUUGCUACUACCUACCGCUUUUGUGCAACUAGGCCUUUAUGCUGGUUUCUUCUAGUUCUAUCCGGGCAAACAAACAGACCUAUGUUACAACCAGUGCUUAUAGCUCUUUUAACUGAGAUGGUUAUAGCUCGUUUAGCUAGAUUCUGUACUCUGGAAUUAUGUAUUCAACUUGUUCAAUACGUGUUGUUAUCUAUGAUCUAUGGAAUGUUCUCAAGAUGUACUUGGAUAACAGCAUGUGUAUCUCUUGUAACUGUGAUCGUUAUAAUUGCUAGUGACAAUGAUUUCAGGUCGACUGGUCGAAGCUGGUCGCUCUAGGACCGACCAGGCGAUUAAUCGAGAUUAAUCGUCGACCAGGGCGAUUAAUCGCCCUGGUCGACCCUGGUCGUCCACCUGGUCGUCCAGCUAUUUCAGGGCAUAUAUGCCUAUAUAUAUACCUCUAUAUAUACUAUAUAAUAUACACAAUCAAGCUAGCAUCAAUACUACAUUAGUGUUUAGAUAGUGAAUUACUUGUGGGAGUUGGUUUCUUCUCUUUUCUGCACUGUCCAGAGGUCCAUAUUGCUGUCCCAAACCCCCCCUGCAGCCCCUCUAUUCUAUCUAAACCCUAACAGGCCAAAAACUUAAAGCCCAUUAGCCCAGUCCCAGUUAGAAAAGGCCCAAAAAAACAGGAGCCUGGUCGUCCAUCUUACCUGGUCGUCCGAUUAAUCGACGAUUAGUCGGACGACCAGCUUUCUGGUCGAACUAAUCGAGUCGGACCUUCUAAUCGAAUCCUAGGAGCGACCAGGACGAUUAAUCACGAUUAAUCGGACGACCUGAAAUCAUUGGCUAGUGAUCUAUUAGGUUAGUUUAUGUGCUGUUAAAACUGAAUGGAAAAUUGCCUGUAGGAAUUAUGUAUUCAACUUGUUCAAUACGUGUUGUUAUCUAUGAUCUAUGAAAUGUGCUCAAGAUGUACUUUUGGAUAACAGCAUGUGUAUCUCUUGUAACUGUGAUCAUUAUAAUUGCUAGUGAUGUAUUAGGUUAGUACAACUAUUUAGUUUGAACUCCUACAAUAUGUGCUGUUAAAACUGAAUGGAAAAUUGCCUGUAUCCAAGUAUGGGCUGUGCAGGCAAACAAACAGCUUCCCAAUGUGGUAGUUGAUGGUAGUUGGGGAAAUCUGACACUUGGGCCAGGCAAACAAACACCAUCACACCACCAGGCAGCCCCUGCUUGGGCCAGACAAACAAACAUGCCCAGUUGCACCGCUUGGGCCUGUCUAGAGCUGGCCAGGCCAGGCUGGUAAGCGCCAGCCAUCCAGGCAAACAAACAGGCCCUUAGGGUCUGAUUGGUUCAUAGCCAAAUUUUAGUUACCAAAACUUAGGCAAGCCAAGGAUUUGGCCUCUAUUUGGUUUGUUACCAAAAUUUACCAAUACCUCACAUUUAACUUGCCAAAUCUGUAGCAAAUAUUUCUGACCAACUUUUGGCAAAUUUUGGUGCCCAAACCUUUGGCCUGAGUAGGCACUUAAUAGUCAAACAUACAUGUAAUAUAUUGCAUUACUCUGCUUAUCAGAACAUUACCAGCAGAGUAUGUGUGGUUUUCGCAGUUUUCCUCAUUAGACAUGUUGUUCACAGCUUAUUUUGAUCACUUAUGGGCAAUUUUAAAUGGUGCAGGAAAUGGAACCGGCAAACCAGCCAAAGAGGCAAAGAAGAG
rnacentral:lncRNA from 1 species